GAUGAAUGCUGGCGGCGUGCCUAACACAUGCAAGUCGAGCGGCAGCGAGGGGUGCUUGCACCCUGUCGGCGAGCGGCGAACGGCUGAGUAACGCGUAGGAAUUUGCCCCAAAGUGAGGAAUAACUGCCCGAAAGGGUAGCUAAUGCCGCAUAUGGUCUUCGGAUUAAAGGAUUUAUCCGCUUUGGGAGAAGCCUGCGUUGGAUUAGGUUGUUGGUAGGGUAAUGGCCUAUCAAGCCGACGAUCCAUAGCUGGUCUGAGAGGAUGAUCAGCCAGACUGGAACUGAGACACGGUCCAGACUCCUACGGGAGGCAGCAGUGAGGAAUCUUCCACAAUGGGCGAAAGCCUGAUGGAGCAACGCCGCGUGAAGGAUGAAGGCCUUCGGGUUGUAAACUUCUUUUAUGAGUGAAGAAUAUGACGGUAACUCAUGAAUAAGCACCGGCUAACUACGUG
rnacentral:rRNA from 1 species